UACGUAGGGUGCAAGCGUUGUCCGGAAUUACUGGGCGUAAAGAGCUCGUAGGCGGUUUGUCGCGUCGUCUAUGAAAACUCGAGGCUCAACCUCGAGCUUGCAGGCGAUACGGGCAGACUUGAGUACUGCAGGGGAGACUGGAAUUCCUGGUGUAGCGGUGAAAUGCGCAGAUAUCAGGAGGAACACCGGUGGCGAAGGCGGGUCUCUGGGCCGAUACUGACGCUGAGGAGCGAAAGCGUGGGGAGCGAACAGG
rnacentral:rRNA from 1 species